AACGAACGCUGGCGGCAUGCCUAAUACAUGCAAGUCGAACGAAAACUUCGGGUCCAGUGGCGCACGGGGGCGUAACGCGUGGGAACCUGCCCUUAGGGUCGGAAUAACUCCCCGAAUGGGGUGCUAAUAGGGGAUAAUGUCUACUGACCGAAAAUAUAUCGACUUGGUAUGGGCCGUCGUGGAAUUCGCUUGUUGCGAGGGUAAAAGACUCCCACGGGGCCGAUUCCUAGCUUGUCUGGGAGGCUGAUCACCCACUCUGGGAGUGGGACACGGCCCAGAAUCUUCCGCGAGGCAGCAGUGCGGAAUAUUGCACCAUGGGCGGAGGGAUGAUCCACCAAUGACGCGUGAGCGCUGAAGGCAUUAGGGUUCUAAAGCGCUUUUACCCGGGCUGAUAAUGACAGUACCGGGAGAGUAAGCUCCGGCUAACUCCGUG
rnacentral:rRNA from 1 species